CGUAGGUGAACGUGCGGA
rnacentral:rRNA from 1 species